rnacentral:rRNA from 1 species
UACGGAGGGUGCAAGCGUUAUCCGGAUUCACUGGGUUUAAAGGGUGCGUAGGCGGGUAGGUAAGUCAGUGGUGAAAUCUUCGAGCUUAACUCGGAAACUGCCAUUGAUACUAUUUAUCUUGAAUAUUGUGGAGGUAAGCGGAAUAUGUCAUGUAGCGGUGAAAUGCUUAGAUAUGACAUAGAACACCCAUUGCGAAGGCAGCUUACUACGCAUAUAUUGACGCUGAGGCACGAAAGCGUGGGGAUCAAACAGG